UGACCAAGGAGCAGUAUGCCUGCUGGCUGCAGCGCCACCUGGAGGCCGAGACGGCCAUCCAGGGGAGAGAGGAGCUGCUCUUUGACUCGGCCCUGAGACUGGAGACAAACCUGCAGCUUCUGGGAGCGACGGGCAUUGAGGACCGGCUGCAGGACGGCGUGCCCGAAACCAUCGCUUCUCUGCGGAAGGCCGGCCUGCAGAUCUGGGUGCUGACAGGCGACAAGCAGGAAACGGCCGUCAACAUCGCGUACGCCUGCAAGCUGCUUGACCCGGAGGAGGAGAUCCUGACACUGAAUGCUGAUUCUCAGGAGGCGUGUGCGCUGUUGCUGGAGGAGAGUUUACACUACAUCCAGGCCAAAUUCCUCUGCAGCUCCACAGACCACGCCGCCAAGGCCUUCCACGGUAACUUUGCACCCUGCGAGAUCUACGCCUCCUCAUCGCCGUCCUCCUCCUCCCA